rnacentral:rRNA from 1 species
GACGAACGCUGGCGGCGUGCUUAACACAUGCAAGUCGAGCGGUAAGGCCCCUUUCGGGGGUACACGAGCGGCGAACGGGUGAGUAACACGUGGGUGACCUGCCCUCAGCUCUGGGAUAAGCCUGGGAAACCGGGUCUAAUACCGGAUAUGACUCCAUGACGCAUGUUGUGGGGUGGAAAGCCUUGUGCGGCUGAGGAUGGGCCCGCGGCCUAUCAGCUUGUUGGUGGGGUGAUGGCCUACCAAGGCGACGACGGGUAGCCGGCCUGAGAGGGCGACCGGCCACACUGGGACUGAGACACGGCCCAGACUCCUACGGGAGGCAGCAGUGGGGAAUCUUGCGCAAUGGGCGAAAGCCUGACGCAGCGACGCCGCGUGAGGGAUGACGGCCUGGUGUAAC